rnacentral:lncRNA from 1 species
UACCUUACCUUGCUUUGCUUGCUUACACAUUCAUUAUAUAUGGUUUAAUGGUUGGUAUAGUGGAUUGAGAUUGUCGGGGCGUCUGCUGAAGGCAAAUGGCUCGCAUGACUUUUCUCGAUAGAUAGAUGAAUCCCACUUUUGUCACACAAUAGGGCAGUCUCCCAAGGGAAGAGGGGAAAAUGGAGAAAAACACGGGUUUUCAUUUUCUUUUGUUAUUUUCUCACAGUCUCCCGAGGGAAAUGGGGAAAAUGGACAAAAACACGGGGUUUUCAUACAAAUUCUAUUUCCAGUUGAGACUAGUGCAAUCAGGUAAUCCAUUUCAACUGAAAACCCUAUAAUUCACUUCGGAACUCAACGUUUUCGCUUCCCUGGCAAUAGUAUGCCAAGCGCCAGGCCAACAAGUAUGAGUUAUUGCCGAUGCUCGAAGCGGCUUUUUUACUCCGGGUACAAAAGAGUAAUCCACAUUCAUUGGUUUUCUUCCUUGAUGGAUGCUCGGUAUGCAUAGUAUUCACGGGUAGCCGUACCAACCCCCUAGCAAUGUAGAGCGGGUCUCUCGGUACUUCGUCAUAAUAGUUCUUUUUAUUAAGUAAGAACUCGGACGGUAAAUGUAGAAAGAGCAUGAGGGAAUGCCCAGACUUAUUUAAUAGAUUUACUUGCCCGAAUAGAUUGACUCGGUUGGCCGUAGGAAAAGAUAACUCAUGCCUACUUUACUUACUUGCACAGCCGCCCCACCCACACUCGAGAAAAUCAAUUACGUGAGGGCCACUUCUUUAUAUAGGUCGCCCUUACCUUGCUAUGCUUCUUUGAAGUCAGCCCCUUCUGUGCAUGAACUAGUAGUCCAUCAUUUAGGUAGGGGAAGCUUAACAUGAAAGAUAUAGAUUCUAUGCCUUUUUCUUUUGUUGGAUGGGAAACUCACUCAUGACCUAGUCGACAACACGAUCCUUUCCAUAAACUCUGGGUUGAGCUCUACCGCUUCUUUCAAGUUCAGUUUUCUCCUGGUCAACCAGUCAGCGGCCCUGUUGUCCCUAAGUCAGCGAGCGGAGCGGCCCUUUUGUUCAUGAGAGGAAUUCAUUCCCUUUGAUGUACACCAACGAACGAAGUCGAAUUAUUUCGUCUUUAUUUUUCUCAUUAUAUAGAGUUAUGUGAAGAAAGAAUAUUAAUUCAGGAAGUUCAUCCCCAUGUUCAUUGGCAAGGCGGUACGCGUUCCCGGGGUUGACCGCUAUGACAAUAAAAAAAAGAUCUUUCCUUAAGGAAGGGGCUUAAGUUGACCCUUAGGGUGCUGUGCGUUGGAAAUAUUUAUUAUUUAUAUGAGUUUUUUUAAUAAGCGCGGCUGAGUUGACGUUGAUAGACUUGUGCGUGCUCUGCCGCUCGUAACCUUUUUUUUUCUCCCAUCGAAUCGAGGAGGUCAAGUUUCGAGAGCAGAGCCUCUCGCUUCUGAUUAUCAGUCAUAUCGUCGUCGAGCAGAACGGCGCAGGGAAGGAAUCGUCGAGUUCACUGGGAAGAAUGGCGUCCAUGCCAACGACUAAGGAGAAGGGUGUUUGACCAGUGGCUCUAUACAGAUUGACGUCCGAUAAGCCCAGAGAGCCUCAAGAAGGCGAUCUGGCCAGUCUCCUCCGACUCAAAAGUGUUUGUAGCUAUGGUAUGGGUCUGGUCUGAAGACCAAUGGGUCAGGUCAAAAAAGGGGAUAUCCUCUUCUUUGGCUACACCAACUAAUGUAGUAGAUUGCGUUCCCGGAGGACACUUUCUCCAUUUCGUCGGUACUGGUAACAACAGAUCUUGACCUCGUUCUUUUUCUUGUUAUUUUACUUCUUGGAAUGGAAUUCUUCUCAUGAUAGUCACACAAGCGAAGGAGAAGAGGAUGGGUCCCGAGGGAACUCUUUUUCUUCUAUUCUAAGUUUUGAUUGCACGAGCAGCAUAACAACAUAACAGUUUUGUGUAAGGAAGUAAGGAAAGACUCCUUUCUGAAAUUUAAGGACUUAAUUAGCCUGUCGUAUAUAACAGAUAAUGCAAAGAGAGUUUCCAAUGGGUUACAUCAAGUUCCAUUCCCAGUAUGCGAAAUCAGUAAACACGAAUAUCUGUAUAUAAGAAACUUCUAUUCCAAUCCACAAUCGGUCCAACAAGUCAACUGUCGUCAACUAGAUCAAUCAGGAAUAAGCAAUAUGUCGUACCCUAUCUGUCAUAUUUGCUUUUCGGUAAAGGGUACACACUUUUUUUUUUUACUUAUUAAAUUCUCUGUCUUGCUAAACACAAAUCCUUCUUUUCUUGUAUAGACGAAAAAAAAAGAACAAAGUAGGUUUCGACCCAUUAAAGGAGUCAAUGGCACGCACACAAAGCAGGAGGAAAUCGGUACCCCGCGAGGCUGGCGAAGUCGGCACAAGAAGUAGGCGGAGUAGAGGCAGCAGUUGCGGGCUCAGGUGCGGCUAUAAAUCUAAAUCAAUAUUCCCGUCUGGGGUUGGCGGAGUUGGUAGAAAGCACGGUUGGCGAUAAGCUGGUACUAGUUUCAUUCUUUCUAUUCUAAAAUCCAAUACCCGGAACUGGUAAAUCAAACAAUGUAGGCACACGUUGGCACAGUUCUGUAAAUAAGAGAUGUCUCAUCCGGUUGAGCUGUCGCAAUCAGUCUUUCUCUUCCUUUCUUAGUAGCAGAUCCAACAUGACUGUAUUAAACCUUAAGCAAUCAGGGUUAAGCUAGCUCAUUGCCUGAAAGUGGAGCUCGUAUUAUACACCUUGACCCCCACCUUUUUUGAAUCCUUCCUCCAUAUAUAUUUUAUGUUAGAUAAGAUAAGUCCCAUAACUGCCUCAUUCAGAUCGAUUCCAGUCGCCGUUACGGUCACAUCAAUCCGUUAUGGCUCGGACCCUCUUAGCUGCUGGAUCCUUCGGGAAGCCAUAGUAGGGAUUACGUCAGUACAUUCUUAGGCGAGCAGUGGAUUAUAUCACCCCUAUUUUUGACCUUCUUUCUUUUUUAGGCAUGGGACCAAGGUUGAUCGAAGUUGAACAUUCCUAUGGAACUCCCCUUCAGACGACUUCUCUGCGCUUGCCCAGCACCUUUCGUUUUAUGGACCAGGACCAAUUUCACCUCAGACCAUGGUGGCUGGAUAACGUUCUCUCAAGGACCUGCUCUCUAAUGCUGAUGAUCAAACGUUCCUUCAGAUGUGUAUGAGAAGGAAAGCGUCUCACAGGACUCUUAGAUAGAAACCAGCAUAGUCUAUGAAUUAGCAUUCACAGUUUAUUGAACUUGGUUGCACUCGUAAAGCGAGCGUGAAGAGAGCUGCGAAAGAAGCCCACGGAACGGAGCGGUUCUUUUUCCUGACUAGCAAGUGGACAGGCUCUGAUGGCGUAGCUGAUGUGUCAUGCUAGGUAUCUUUUUUUUUCCUUUUUAGAUUUAUCUCAAGGGAUUGAAGACUUUCCUCUAUACUGACAGAAGCAGAGAGGCUGGUAAAAAAGAAGGAAGCAGGCUGGACAUGGUAAUAGAACCCACUGGAGAUCAUUCAAUCGGACGUCUUCCACAAAGUAAAGCUAGAGUAAGUGGCGUAAGAUAAGAUAGAUGUUCACUUUCAUCGACCAAUGUACCUGAAAUUCCUAUACGUAAAGUCGAGAGCUAGAGAGAGUAAAUGAGACGUUCAAAGGGUGAAGCUAACGCUUCCCUGGCCACUAGGGAGUCAUCAAAGUCUGAGUCCAUACACUUACUAGCUAAUACUGGAUCGUCAAAGAUCUGAUUCUAUUUAAUAAUACCUUCUGUCUCUCUCCUAAGGGAUCCAAUCAGAAGGAAUUCCCUCACUUCGCUCAUGAUAGUCGGUCGAGUUCCCUUUUCUAUUUUAGUUGAGUUUCGCCUCUCCUCCUUUCCUUGUCUCCAUUCUGAUUGAUUCGCUUCUUCGCGCAAGCACUUGGUUCGCCCCUUACUAUAACCAUCCCACUCAAUCUUUUACACCGAUGUUUCGUACUCUCUCGACCAGGUCAUCAUAAGAAAAUACUGCCAAAUCUUUCCGAAAUGAGAGAAGGAGGGAAGGCGCGCUACAACUAACUGCUGAAAACGCAAGAUUAGCGCUAAGAAGCAACCCUAGUUUAAGUACUAGCGUCCCACCCCAACGUUCUUGUACUUAAAAAGACUCUCCCCCGCUUGCUGCUCGCCUCAGCCAGACGUGGCUUAUGUAGUGGUCGGCAUUCCUACGUGCUCCGACUGAUCCCCACUGGAGAUUAUAUGAGGGGUCGUGACGCUUUGGUGACGAAGGUCACCGGGGUGACUAUGGAAGGAUUCCGUGGUAGUCUCUGACUCCCUCCAACUCAAUCAAUAUCAAGAACAUGUCGUUAGCAUGGGGUUUGGUUAGGCUUGGUUGAGUUUGUAAGAAAAGAUAGUAGGUUGAGGGGCUUCAUUGAUUAGUAAACCUACGGUGCUGGUAAGGUCGGGACCGUGGUCGUCCGUCUCCGCUUUGCCGGCCGAUAAGAUCACUGAGAUUGACCAGCCAGCUGGGUAGGUUUGGCUAUUCCUUUCUAUUGAAAAGGAGUCAGCUGUCUGCGCGAGUCACCUUCCUUAGGCUCCGAGUCACCUUCUUCUAAGCUCCGCUGGACGACACGGCAUUCUCGUUCUAUAGGCCGGCCGUACUUGUGAUGGUUCCCCAGGAUCCAAUAAAUCCACUUAGGUCUACGUUGCCGCGAUAUUGUUCUAUGGAAGCGGGUGGGCUGCUUUUUAUAAGUUCGGCCCGGUUUUUCAUUAAAAAAAAAGAAAGGGGGGGAGGGAUUGACCUUUCUAACGCAUAUUCCGUCGUACCGGCAUGGCCCCACUGAUUUGUUUUCGAUCGGAGCAUCAAGCAGCGCAACCCGGUUCUACUUGACUAAGCCCCGUGCUCGUCCAAGGAGGGAGUUUGCUUUACCCAACUCCCCUUUUUGAUAAAAAGGCAAAAACCUCUUCAUGAGUUUCGAAUGAAGAAUGAAGAGUGCCCCUCUUUUUUUCCCUAAAUCUUGGAUUUGGAAGUUGGUAAAGACCCACCCCUUGUUUAAGUCAGAAUGAGUCCCGAGACAUUGGCUUCCGCCAACAGUGAACUAUUAAGGAUCGCAUCCCGCGCAUAUUCUACAUUAUAGCCUGCAACUGAUUCAGCUUCCGCUUCUGGGAGAUCAGACGGAGCUCGAUUAGUUUCUGCUAGACGAGGAAUAAGGAACAUAACCAAUACGGGGAACAAGGGAAUACCGGACCAUAUCUGCUUUUGCGCCAUGACAAUCUCACUCGAAUUACAGGGACCUACACAUAUUAGUACAGUAUACCGGGGUCCCCGGCCAGAACCACACGUGCAAGUUUCCCUGCAUGUGGCUCGUCCGUGCUUUUAUCCGAGGCGCUGCCUGCGACUCUGCAUGGGAGAAGAGGGCUGAACUGCAAACUUUCGUGUUCAGAGCAUUGCAUUGUCUAAGGGAGUAGGGUGAGUAAGCAGCGCCUACCAAGCUAAGCUUUCGUCGAAAAGGCGUCACUGCUUCCUUUUCGGCGCCCGCCCUUUAUUUAGAUGUUGGGGCAAGGCAAGCCCAAGGAAAGUCUAGGUUGGUGCUCCAUCUCGGCCGGCAUCCUGCUCUCGAGAGGGUGUGGUCCUUGAGCGAACUAGUCAUGUGCUGUGUUGCCCCAACGCAGGGGCAUUUGGUGAGGAGCUACGGUCCGGUGGUUGACAAGCCACUGAUCGGAGGCGACUGGAGUGCUUUCAUCAAAUGAUGCAUGUGGGCUGAGCCAUUCCCAUCCCAAGUGGUGGCCCGAUUCGGCCUGGCCUGGUCGGAAAGAGAUUCUAAAUCUCGAAUAUGCGCACCGAGAAUAGAUAUCUAUGUUAGCUAGCGGGGGCGGGCUUUCCCCUGGUAGUCCCGCUGCGUCCUCUGACAGUCCGUCUCAUCUUUCUUUGGCUAUACUUGUAGCCAGCCAUAUUAGCUCCACAUUCCACCCUUUUUUAUUUUGACGAAAAAGGCAGCGUCGCCCCCUUUCCUAUUUAGCUUUGCUUGCUGCCUAUUAUGAGAAUAGGUCCCGGUUCAAGCGGCCCGCCUUUCAUCAUCAUCUAUACCAGCUGCCACGCACGAUCCCAUAGGAACGAUUUCAUCGCCCUAAGAAGCAGAACGCGCCAUCACCUACAGCCCUUUCCUCUGCCGGGGACUUUCACGAAAUGAAAACGGGCGGCAUCAUCGUAUGCUCGACAUUAGUUGCCCUGGUGUAUAUCCCGGAGUACUCCUAUGGCCGAUCUGUCACCCAUACAUGAAGGCCUUGGCCCCGUCCCGUGUGGAGCCCCCCUUACGGCACGGCUUAGUCAGUUAUUUUCUUUUGUCAGAGUGGAUUCGGACCGCCACUUCUCUGAAAGCAUGGUUCUUGCCUCCCUCUCUCCUCCCUCCUUGAAGCUCGUCCAUUCGUUGGGUGAUCCCUUGCUCUCACGUUCGAGUGUUUGCUCGUCGUUUAGGCCGGUGAGUGACAUUUUUGCUCAUUGCAGUCCGGGGUUCUUCGCACCUGGGUAGUACCAGGACCCUUGUGCCCCGGACUGCACUGCCCGCCCUAUGACCCAAAACUCAAAACGAGCCUUGCGACGAGACGCGGACAUUCCUCAUGCUGCGGUUCCCUCCGGUCCGUUCCCGGGUUGGGUUAGGGGAAGAUCCGAGCGAUUGCCUUCGCGGAUCCAAACGUGCUCACAAGGCGCACAAUAAGAAUAAGACCAAUAGAGACUUCAUAAGAGACCAUUUGAGCUGCAGAUCGUAAUGCUCCUAGAAAGGCAUAUUUCGAAUAUAGAGGACGUUCCCAACAAUCCACGAGAAUAUCAUACCCAACUAUGAACCGUACGAGCACAUCCUCUGUCACCCCCACCGCGCUUACGGCUCUAUACCCCAACCCAACUUGCUCUGGCCCUGGGUCCUCCCGCAUCUCUUCCUCGGUAAGCGGACCGUGGAAGCUGGGGGGUAUCCGCUUGGGACUGAUAGGAAACAGCAUAUCUUUUUUUUCCCUCCUGACCCCUAAAAAAAAUAUAUAGUUGCAGUCCGGUCGCGUCGGAGACAUCCUUAUCAGAUUUUGAGGCUUCGUCGUCCGGCUCCUCCAAAAUUAUGUUAGGAUCGGCUGGCUCAUCCUUAUCAUCCGAAAAUAAAACAAAGACAAAACAGAUUUGUUUCAAUGACAUAUCUAAUCAGACUGAAAUUGAUGUCGAAGACACGAUCAUUCACAUCAAUUUCUGCAGGCAGGAAGGGCGCGGAAGCUACCGUUUAACGAAUGCAAGCAAGGUAGCUUGCUUACUCUCCAUCUAGCGUGCGUUGGCGGCAAGGAAAGAGGCAUUGGAAAGACUAGACCAUACACAUUAAUUAGUACAAGAAAGAGGCAUUCGGGAAGCGACUAGUCGCUUCUGGCGAAGCUUAACAAAGGCCGACUACUACAUAGAGACAACUACCAGUCAUGAGCGAUAGUGAAGCUGUCGCUUGACGGACGAAGCCGAACCGAUACGAUAGGCGGGCGAAGUGAGCGAGACCAAGACGGGCCAGACGUGGAGUGGCGAAGGUACUAUACGUAUACGUGAUUAGUAAGCGGUUCAAGACAUCGAACGAAAAAGAAAAAAAGAACUAUUGAACAUUUCCUCAAAAAGGAAAGUAAGGCGCGCUGCUAAAGAUAAGUCUAGUAGAAGAAAUAGGCCGAGGACUAGGUUGCAGUAUCAGAUAUAGAAAGAUAAGUAAAAAAGGAAAGAUUAGCCAGCCUAUGUAUUUGAUUUGGAAGGUGAUUCGUGCUUCCCUGAGGAAAAAUAGGUUGUCGGCUACGACGGUAAGCAUUUCUUUCCUUUAGAACCAUUUCUGUCCGAUGCGCACCACGACAGCUUGUAAGAACGAAUCAAGGUUUCCAGGCAGCUCUAGUCUGAAUUUUACUACCUAGACAACUACCUAAGCCUGGUGGAUCAGUUUUGAAAGCCUGGUCUUCAUCGACAGCUGGUAGACUUGGGCCAUUGUGCAAUUACCAUCCUUUGUGCGACCAGGCCCCACGGGAAUCGCCUUGAAGAUGUCCACCCCUUUCUUAGAAAAAUGGAAAGAAAGGUGCUCAGCGACGACUGCCCCUUCUACCUUGACUUUUUUGCCACUCUGUCUCUUUGGAGCAUCCGUUUCCUCAUAUUAUCGAUUCAUAAAGGUCCAUGAAAGGAAAGAAGACCGCUUUCCCUUGCUUCGCACCUCGUCAUAGCCCUGAAAAGCUCACCCGGAGUUCUAGUUAGAGAAUGGGGUAUGAUUCACUACUUGCCUACUGCUACCUGGGUCGUGAGAUCGAAGAAGGUAUACUAUUAGACAAGGUUCAUUCCAGCUUUGCUGCUCUUUUUCUUUUGAUUCUUUCUGUUUCUGUUUACUUGAGCUAAUUCUUUACUUGCUUUCGAGCUAACUUGGCUUGGUGCCGGGAAUGGAAUCACAGCAAGAGACAGGGCUAAUGGUUGGUUCUGUCUACUAUAUUUAGUAUGAUUUUUUAUAUCUUCGACCUUAAGAGGCGGUUUACGAAAGAGAGAGAGCUCGUGGAAGACUUGAGAAAUUGAAAUAUCAGUCCAUUUUUUUUUCCAUUUCUUCCUAACAGGAAACAAAAAUGUCACUGUGCGUAACACAUCUAAUUGGAAGUGGAAUGAAGAUAAUGCGCUUUACUCUUUCAUUUGUAGCUGGAUUACCCCUUGGGUUGGGCUAACUUGAAUCUGUUUUGUUUAGUUUUUCACUAAGCAAUUGCCU